rnacentral:tRNA from 1 species
GCGUAGCUCAAUGGCAGAGCGCCGCGCUGUGGACGCGGUGGUUGCGGGUUCGAGUCCCGUCGC